CAACUACUCCCUCUGUCCCAAAUUUCUUGUCUUAGAUUUGUCUAGAUACGGAUGUAUCUAAUACUAAAAUGUGACUUGAUACAUCCGUAUCUAGACAAACCUAAGACAAGAAUUUUGGGAUGGAGGGAGUACUUU
rnacentral:pre_miRNA from 1 species